AUUCACGUGGCACAGUGGAUAGCACAGAAGGGCAGCUGUUGAGGUAACAGUCAACUAAAGUGAUAUUUUGCAGCAAACCCUUGCAAGAGCACUGCCCGUGGAGGAAGCUUCCCCUCAAACUGUGAGAGGUUGGAGACCUACAGGAUUAAAUUCCAGGACUCAGGAUAAAUUCUCUCCAAGCAUGCACUAUCCAGCACCUUCCUUGCAAAAGUGGCAUGAUUGCAAAAUACAUGAAAGAAAAUAUAAAUAGCUGAUAACCUGGUGAUUUCACUGGCUGGAGAGACACAUAUAAAUCCUUCUGAGUGAGACUCAGUAAGCAAAAGAUUACCC
rnacentral:lncRNA from 1 species